rnacentral:tRNA from 1 species
UUCCAGUGGGGGUCAGUGGAAGACUGGUUAAACUGUUUGGUUUUCGACCACUACGACCCGGGUUCGAUUCCCGCAUUGGACA